UCCCCUAGUAACUGCGAGUGAAGCGGGAAGAGCUCAAAUUUGAAAUCUGGCGGCCUUGCCGUCCGAGUUGUAAUCUGGAGAAGCGUCUUCUGUGUCGGACCGUGUACAAGUCUCUUGGAACAGAGCGUCGUAGAGGGUGAGAAUCCCGUCUUUGACACGGACUGCCGAUGCUCCACGAGGCGCUCUCGAAGAGUCGAGUUGUUUGGGAAUGCAGCUCAAAGUGGGUGGUAAAUUCCAUCUAAAGCUAAAUAUUGGCGAGAGACCGAUAGCGAACAAGUACCGUGAGGGAAAGAUGAAAAGCACUUUGGAAAGAGAGUUAAACAGUACGUGAAAUUGUUGAAAGGGAAGCGCUUGAAGUCAGUCGCGUUGUCCGGAACUCAGCCUCGCUCUUGCCUGGCGUACUUUCCGGUCGACGGGCCAACGUCGAUUUUGGCCGACGGAUAAAGGCAGGUGGAAGGUGGCACCUCCGGGUGUGUUAUAGCCUCCUGUCGCAUGCGUCGGCUGGGAUCGAGGAUCGCAGCACGCCUUUUUGGCCGGGGUUCGCCCACGUAACGUGCUUAGGAUGUUGGCGUAAUGGCUUCAAACGACCCGUCUUGAAACACGGACCAAGGAGUCUAACAUGCCCGCGAGUGUUAGGGUGGAAAACCCUUGCGCGUAAUGAAAGUGAAAGUCGAGACCUCUGUCGUGGAGGGCACCGACGCCCGGCCUUGAACUACUGUGACGGUGCCGCGGUGGAGCGUGUAUGUUGGGACCCGAAAGAUGGUGAACUAUGCCUGAAUAGGGUGAAGCCAGAGGAAACUCUGGUGGAGGCUCGUAGCGAUUCUGACGUGCAAAUCGAUCGUCGAAUUUGGG
rnacentral:rRNA from 1 species